rnacentral:lncRNA from 1 species
CCACCCCUAAAGCGAAUAGACCAAACCAACACCAUAAUUGCGGCAAUUGAUGCUAGAAAGUGUGCCCCAAAUGAGAAAGGUAGUGCCUUUAACCCCGUGGCCAUCUCCCUUCCCACUCUCUGAUUUUCUUCCUCUUCUGUGUUACUACAGUAUUUUUUUUUUUUUUUUAUUAACCUCAUUCCUCCAUAAAAAUAAGAAUUGUCUUCUAGUUCUACUAGCUGUCGGAGCAGUACACCCUAUGAAUGAAAAUUAAUUUCAGUUGGUUCUCCAAUAGGUGUUACUACAGUAUUUUUUUUUUUUUUUUGAUUAACCUCAUUCCUCCAUAAAAAUAAGAAUUGUCUUCUAGUUCUACUAGCUGUCGGAGCAGUACACCCUAUGAAUGAAAAUUAAUUUCAGUUGGUUCUCCAAUAGGAAAAAAAGAGCAUUCAAAAUCAUGUCUACAACUUACAAGAGGAACAUCAAAUUAAAAGAUAAUUGGACAACCUGCGUCAAAUCAAUGGCCUUGCAUAUCAAGCGUCUCGUCCAAACGUUUAACUCUUUCCAAUCCUUC